AAGACACACCCUCUGCUCAGCAUACCCCUACAGCUGUGAUGUUAACAUUUUGACGAGGAGCACCCCUUUUCCAUGAAUUCUUUGAAACUGAUCUGUGUUUCAUUCACCACUUCAACAUCAACAUAUUUGUAUGUAUCCAGUAUCCAGGCAGUGCCUGAUGCCUGACAAUGCACUAUGACCUUGAGGAUCCUUCACAAGUCUUUCCCCCCAAAGGGACCCAUCUGUGAUGACCAGAACCUGGUUCGAAAUCACCCGGUGUGUGUUUGACAAGGCUUCUCGGCUUCUGGGUGGUCUGGUUUCCGACAGGCAGCAGCGUCAGCUGGUUCUCACAGAGUCCAUGUGCUCAUGGAGGAAAUGUGGCCUGAGCCGAUGUCACCCCACCCACAGAAAGGAAGUGACAGCUAUGCAAGGUGGAGAAAUGUAUGGGUUGUAUCUGUAAGGAUGAUUUUGGUUACUAGGAACAGAAAACCCAAUUCAAAUAGCCAUAAAUAAUAAA